UACGUAGGGUGCAAGCGUUAAUCGGAAUUACUGGGCGUAAAGCGUGCGCAGGCGGAGAUGUAAGACAGAUGUGAAAUCCCCGGGCUCAACCUGGGAACUGCAUUUGUGACUGCAUCGCUGGAGUGCGGCAGAGGGGGAUGGAAUUCCGCGUGUAGCAGUGAAAUGCGUAGAUAUGCGGAGGAACACCGAUGGCGAAGGCAAUCCCCUGGGCCUGCACUGACGCUCAUGCACGAAAGCGUGGGGAGCAAACAGG
rnacentral:rRNA from 1 species